AUGGACCGAUCAACUCGGUGGCCAGACCUGGCGCAGGAUGUGCUCCGCGACGUAGCCGGCCGCCUGCACGAUGCCGCAGACUUCGCGCGCUUCUAUGCUGUCUGCAGGCCGUGGCGCGACUCACGCGAAGCGCCGCCGCCGUCGUUCCGGACCACGACGACGACCCAUCAGUUCCUCCCGUGGCUCUUCACUGCGGCCGACAAAGACCACCAGACCCCUCUCAAGCUCAGGUGCAUCUUCUCCAAGUCCACCUACCGCGUCACGUCACCGCCUCCCUGCGCGGCCAGAGGAAACUGGGUGUGCAGCGCCGACGCCACCGCCGUCCAGUACCUCAACGUCGACCGCUUCCUGAACCCUAGCCUCCACGAUCCUGUCACCGGACAAGUCACCCGCCUGCCUCGUUUCCAGUGGGACGAGGGCGACCCCCACGGCGUCCUCUAUGGCGACGGUACCAUCCUUUUAUACAGCAUCACCCACAUUGAUAAAGGGCGUAAGGCCAGCUUCAGGGCGUCGCUCCUGCGUUCUGGAGACGCAAAGUGGACGCUCGUCAAGAGGACGCUUGAGACCCCCAGCAGGAAGGUUGAGUCCUGCGCCGCGUACCACCGAGGCAAGAUCCUUGUCACCGUCGAGGAUAUGCAGGGACAAGGGUUCUUCUACAUGCACCAAUACAGCCACGUGUUGGAAUCCCGCGGCGAGCUGCUCUGGGUAUCGAUCGCCGGCAAUGGUGUCACUUCUCAGUGCGGGGCUCCUUGUCCCUAUGUGUUCGUGUACACGCUGGAGCAGGAGGAAUCAACGCCGGAGAAGAUGCGGUGGGUGAGGAAAGACGGACGUAGCCUUGCUGACCGUGUGCUGUUCCUAGGGUCACCCAAUAGCUUCGCCGUUGACGCCUCAUGGCCACGGCGGGCGUGCGUACUUCGUCUACCACAACAAUAA
rnacentral:rRNA from 1 species